UACGUAGGGGGCAAGCGUUGUCCGGAUUUAUUGGGCGUAAAGAGCUCGUAGGCGGUCUGUUGCGUCGGCUGUGAAAACCCGGGGCUCAACUCCGGGCCUGCAGCCGAUGCGGGCAGACUAGAGUUCGGCAGGGGAGACUGGAAUUCCUGGUGUAGCGGUGAAAUGCGCAGAUAUCAGGAAGAACACCCGUGGCGAAAGCGGCUCUCUGGAACGGUACUGACGCUGAGACGCGAAAGCGUGGGGAGCGAACAGG
rnacentral:rRNA from 1 species